AGGCUUGGACUCGCCGGUGCAGCGGCGGCGGCAGGAUGCGUGGCAGGCAGGCAAGUUAGUUCCCAGGCGCACCGAGUUGCAUUCUUAAGCGGCCGUGCCCAGUGAGUUUCCUAAAGAAGGAUGGGACCGCAUGCCACUUCGCAUUUUUUCCUCCUUUAUGUCUUCCCGAAUUCUGAGUCAGGAUUAGCAACACCUUGGCUGAUAAUCUGGAGAGCUGUUAUUUAAAUGUAUAUUGCCUCACGGAGAGAGUGAAGGGAGAGGGGCCGGAUGUCAGCGUCUCACCGCUGACAUAGAAAGGAAGAUUGUACAAUUGCAAUUACAAGGUAAGCCCUGGACUUUUGUCUGCUAAAUCCCUUUGAAGCUCGGUCACCGUGGAAAUGGAGGGGGAGCAUUCCUGUGAAAUGACGAGAAGAAGUCAGGAGAGUGACUUGGAAGAUAGCCAAUGAGAAGCAGAUAAUUGGGGAUCGGAAAGGGAGGGAUUGGGGGCAAAAGGUCAGUCUUGUCCGCAUCGAGUCAUGAUCCGGUUGCUGUGCUCGAAUAAAGAAAAGAUUUCCUUAAA